rnacentral:rRNA from 1 species
GCGGUGGAGUAUGUGGUUUAAUUCGAAGCAACGCGAAGAACCUUACCAGGUCUUGACAUCCCCUGACAACCCGAGAGAUCGGGCGUUCCCCUUCGGGGGACAGGGUGACAGGUGGUGCAUGGUUGUCGUCAGCUCGUGUCGUGAGAUGUUGGGUUAAGUCCCGCAACGAGCGCAACCCUCGACCUUAGUUGCCAGCAUUCAGUUGGGCACUCUAAGGUGACUGCCGGCUAAAAGUCGGAGGAAGUGGGGAUGACGUCAAAUCAUCAUGCCCCUUAUGACCUGGGCUACACACGUGCUACAAUGGGCGGUACAAAGGGUCGCGAACCCGCGAGGGGGAGCCAAUCCCAAAAAGCCGCUCUCAGUUCGGAUUGCAGGCUGCAACUCGCCUGCAUGAAGCCGGAAUCGCUAGUAAUCGCGGAUCAGCAUGCCGCGGUCGAAUACGUUCCGGGCCUU